CAUGCGUGCUGAAGUACUUCCUUUCCAGUCCAGCAAGCAAGUCUAAGAGCGAAGAUUUGAAUUGGAAAUCGAACUAUUUCACUGCGAAGAAAACCAUCGAUGUCCAUAAAGAUUCAGAAAUUGGAGACAGUGGAGGAACUACUCGACCUUGACGAGUUGAUAAAAACUCAACCAAGCAAGAAAGAUUUGCUGACAGCCAGGCUCUCAAAGAUUGGUGGAUAUGACUUAAAGAGCUGUUUAAGCACCAUCAUGGACAGGCUCAUGACAAAUGAAUUAAUGUCCAAUCUGAACAUGAAGGGGAGAGGGGGAAAAAAAUAGCUUUGCCAAGACAAAGCUGCUCGAUUUAGUCACAGGUGAGUUUGUGUGUGUGU